rnacentral:ncRNA from 1 species
UAUUGUGAGGUGAAAUCUGAAAGAAGUCAAUAGCAAAAUCUCGGUCUGACGAACAGAAAUCACAUAUAAGGCAAAAUUGAGCUGGGCGAGUUUGCCUAACAAAGCAAAGCACAAUAGUUAUCCGAGGCGCAUACAGUAAAUAUGGCAGAUAUAUAAGAGAAAGGUUG